AUUAUUUUAACAAAAAAGUGUUUAAAUUUAGAAUUUAAAAAUAUAUAAUUUAAUUUAUAUAAAUAAUA
rnacentral:tRNA from 1 species